UGUUCUCCCAACAUUCCAUCUCCGGCACUCCAAAUUUCAGCAUCAUCGCUGACAACAGCUCGUGAAAAUUUGUCAUUUCCUAGAACAAUUGCAAGCUGAAAUGCAAACCAACUCAAUUUGAGAAUGAAGCAUUUGUCAAAGGGUUUGGAAAGGGACAUGCUGGAUAUGUCAAUUUGCGAAUGAAGCAUUUGUCAAAGUAUUUGGAAAGACAUUCAUCUGAGUCUAGCUAUCGUCUUGAGGAUCAUGGAGCAACUUGACUAAGGGAUACCUAGAUAUUUUUAUAUAGUUUUAACUCUGAUACAAUAGUUUUGAAUGUCCAGGCGACUUAAAUUUCCACUAGUGUUUUGGUUUUUGAAUGUUUAAACCAUGUACUUUAUCUAUUGUUUUGAUUGUUACUAUUAAAAGAAUUAUAUUUAUGGGAUUUAGAAAUUUUUAGUUAUAUAUUUAUGUAUUUUAAGUA